rnacentral:rRNA from 1 species
UACGGGGGGAGCAAGCGUUGUUCGGAUUUACUGGGCGUAAAGGGCGCGUAGGCGGCGCGACAAGUCACUUGUGAAAUCCCUGGGCUCAACCCAGAACGGUCAAGUGAUACUGUCGUGCUAGAGUGCGGAAGGGGCAACUGGAAUUCUUGGUGUAGCGGUGAAAUGCGUAGAUAUCAAGAGGAACACCUGCGGCGAAGGCGGGUUGCUGGGCCGACACUGACGCUGAGGCGCGAAAGCUAGGGGAGCGAACGGG